GAUCUUGGUUCAGGACGAACGCUGGCGGCGUGCUUAACACAUGCAAGUCGAACGAUGACGAUGGUGCUUGCACCGUCUGAUUAGUGGCGAACGGGUGAGUAACACGUGAGUAACCUGCCCUCCUCUUCGGGAUAACCGCCGGAAACGGUGGCUAAUACCGGAUAUGAAUGCCUGCCGCAUGGUGGGUGUUGGAAAGAUUUAUCGGUGGGGGAUGGACUCGCGGCCUAUCAGUUUGUUGGUGAGGUAAUGGCUCACCAAGGCGAUGACGGGUAGCCGGCCUGAGAGGGCGACCGGCCACACUGGGACUGAGACACGGCCCAGACUCCUACGGGAGGCAGCAGUGGGGAAUAUUGCACAAUGGGCGAAAGCCUGAUUGCAGCGACGCCGCGUGGGGGAUGACGGCCUUCGGGUUGUAAACCUCUUUCAGCAGGGAAGAAGCGAGAGUGACGGUACCUGCAGAAGAAGCGCCGGCUAACUACGUGCCAGCCGCGGC
rnacentral:rRNA from 1 species